GAUGAACGCUGGCUACAGGCUUAACACAUGCAAGUCGAGGGGAAACGACGGGGAAGCUUGCUUCCCCGGGCGUCGACCGGCGCACGGGUGAGUAACGCGUAUCCAACCUGCCUCUGACUGAGGGAUAACCCGUCGAAAGUCGGCCUAAUACCUCAUGGUAUCGUCUGCGGGCAUCCAACGACGAUUAAAGAUUUCAUCGGUCAGGGAUGGGGAUGCGUCUGAUUAGCUUGUUGGCGGGGUAACGGCCCACCAAGGCUACGAUCAGUAGGGGCUCUGAGAGGAAGGUCCCCCACAUUGGAACUGAGACACGGUCCAAACUCCUACGGGAGGCAGCAGUGAGGAAUAUUGGUCAAUGGGCGAGAGCCUGAACCAGCCAAGUAGCGUGCAGGAAGACGGCCCUAUGGGUUGUAAACUGCUUUUAGGUGGGGAUAAAGUGAGGGACGUGUCCCUCAUUGCAGGUACCGCAUGAAUAAGGACCGGCUAAUUCCGUG
rnacentral:rRNA from 1 species